AUCCAGCUGACGAGUCGCGAAUAAGAUGAAACACGUAUCUUGGAU
rnacentral:hammerhead_ribozyme from 1 species